CCUACGGGAGGCAGCAGUGAGGAAUAUUGGUCAAUGGACGCAAGUCUGAACCAGCCAUGCCGCGUGCAGGAAGACGGCUCUAUGAGUUGUAAACUGCUUUUGUACGAGGGUAAACGCCGGUACGUGUAUCUGUCUGCAAGUAUCGUACGAAUAAGGAUCGGCUAACUCCGUGCCAGCAGCCGCGGUAAUACGGAGGAUUCAAGCGUUAUCCGGAUUUAUUGGGUUUAAAGGGUGCGUAGGCGGUCGGUUAAGUUAGAGGUGAAAUCCCGAGGCUCAACUUCGGAAUUGCCUCUGAUACUGGUCGGCUAGAGGGGAGGUGCGGUAGGCGGAAUGCAUGGUGUAGCGGUGAAAUGCAUAGAGAUCGUACAGAACACCGAUUGCGAAGGCAGCUUACC
rnacentral:rRNA from 1 species